GGCUGGAUGACCGAGUGGUUAAGGUGGUAGACUCAAGCUGACUAAGCUUAUUCUCUCCAAAGGAGAAUCGCGUUCUACUCUCGCAAGAGGCGCGCGUUCGAAUCGCGCUCCAGUCA